UUGAUCUGUUCUGUCAUUGACUUUAUCUUUCAUAAAUUGCUCAAGCAAGUAGCCAUGAGCCCCAUGGAUCUCAACCCCAUCAAAACCUAUAAUUUGCAUCACAACAAGUACGUCAUAUAUGUUGGAAAACAAAAUCAAAUAAAGCAAUAAAACAACUAACAGUCUAGCUUUUGAAAUCACAUUAUAUCAUGAUUGAAGCAUAUUGAAUUUUAAUGACAUUUGUUAGAAUACAAGUGAAGUUACCAGCCUCAAUAGCAUUCCUUGCAGCGAGUCUGAAGUCAUUAACAACAUGAGGAAUUUCAUCCGUCCUCAGCCGCCUCGGUGUUGUGAAUUGCACUACAUCAACCCCAUUAGCCCGUACUUGCGGUUUGAGUGGCUUGUCCGUGGAAGAUAUGGGUGCUUGCCCGUUUGGCUGAUAAGCUAUUCAAAAUCAUACAGAAAAUAAUCAUACAUUGAGCUUGUAUAUUAACAUCAUGUGCAUAAAUGUGUACUAAUAAAAAAAUCAUCAUGUAUUUUCCCCUUUACAAUGAUCAAUAACAACAAGAAAGAAACCCUAUUCGGAAUUUGGUGCAUUAGGUCAGGAAAUAUAUGUAUACCUGAAUUUGAAACCCUUCCAACAUGCCAAAUCUGACAAAAGAAGAGAGCGCCUUUGGCAUGAACAGCAUCGACAAUAGGUUUCCAGGCUUGGACUUGCUCGUUUGUCCAAAUGCCGGGGGUGUCUGGAUAGCCUUGAGCAGUGUCGGAGACACCGGUGGCUUCGGCGAUGAGAAGACCUCCAUUGGAAGCUCUCUGAGAGUAAUAGAGAAUAGCAUGGGGUUGAGGAACGUUGUUGUAGGAUCUCUGUCUGGUGAGUGGAGCCAAAACAAUUCUGAAAUUACAGUUACAAAUGGAGAAUCAGACAAGUGUGGGGAGCAUGAAUGAAUACAGUAAGAAUAAAAUGUAUCUACCUGUGGGAGAGAUUGAAGUUACCCAUCUUGUAGGGAGUAAUAAGAGGGUUAUUGGGAUCCACAGGAAGAGGAAGAGUAGGAGAAGCCAUAGAUUCACAGUGGGUGCACUGUUUGUGUUGUUCCCUUGAAAAAACGAACCGAUCUAUCCUCGUAUAUAUGAUAAACUAGUAUGUAUACCCGUGCCGAUGCACGGGGGCAUAUUUCCGAGUAUAUAAUAAAUUACUUUUAAUAUAUAUAGUUAUUUAUUUUGUAUAAAUGAAAAAUAAAUAUAAAUAUAAUUUUUUAUUUGAUUAAUUUGUUUAUGAUAUAAUAAUAUAAUAAAUUGUAUAUUUUUGUUUUUUUUCUUUUAUUUUUGUUUUUCCGAUCUCCAAAUAAGUCUACAAAAUUUAUAACUUAUAAAAUUUGAUAGAAAAUAUGUAUUACAUAUUAAAUUACAUUUUUUUACACUAUAUCAUUGUGAUUUCCUAAACUCUAUAUAACUAAAUACGGAUGGGUAUUCAAAAUUUAAAUGAUGCAAUAAUAAUUCUCUUAUAUAAAAUACUAUAAAAAAGCAAGAACAUUUAAUUAAAAAUCGCAAUAGAUAUCUCUGGUGGAAAAACACAACGUUGUGAAGCAUACAAAAUUUUUGCAUUUAAAAUCCAAUCUAUCUAAUUGCACCACAAAGAUAAAUAAAAAAUACAAUAAAAAAAUUUCCAUAAUUGAUUUCUGGUGGGAGAAUUUUUUUCACGAAAUUAUUUCGUUCAUGACUCCAACAUUAAUAACGUGUGGAUCAUCUUUAUGAAUUCCAAACCAAACAAAAUGAUUCUCUGUAAGGUUAUUCGCUUUGAUGAAUUUUUUCCACCCCUUCUUCAAGGUGCACUCUGACUCUCUCCUUGGGUUUCACAGUAAAAUCUCCCAUUUUUCUGAUCUCGCAGAACCAAAUUGUAAUGCUUCUGUAUAUCUACUCCAUUAAAAUAUUUAAAAAGUCUAAAAAAAGUUUAAAAAUUAUAUUAAAACAUUUUCUAUUAGUUUCAACUUGAAGGUAUCUUCAUGUUAAAUAUUCCUCGUCGUAUCAGCUUUUUUUUUAUGUAACCUUAACAUCAACAAAUUUUGACUAUAUAUUUUCAAUCCUCGUGUGACAAAUUGUUCUCUCUCUCUUAAAAUACUUAAGAAAAAAAAAUAGGGUAGCAAAAUAAUCCUCUUUUUAGCAUAAAGCUUAUCUAGGGCUUUGUUUCAUGUUUUCUUGGUAUGACAUGUUUUCAAAAUUAGAACUAAUUUUGAAAACAGUUCUCAUUUUCAGUUCUUAAAAUUAAAAACCAAAACAAUUAAAAAAUGUUUUUAGUUUCAGUUUUUAGUUUUCAGAUAUAAGUUUUCUAAAUGUUGGAAAACAUGUCAUUCAACUUGUUUUCUUCAUCUGAAAACUGUUUUUAAAAAUGGUUUAUGAAAGUUGUUUUAAAAACUGAAAACAAAAAUUGCAACCAAACAUGCCCCUAGUACUGCAAAUCAGGUACUUAACUUUAGCCCAAUACUUCCCAUUAGCAUUCAGUGUCAUUAUCACACACAAAUCAUAGUUUUACAUGCGAUCUGCUUCCAUUAUUAAUUAAAAUUCAAGGAUCAUAACUCCUAGUACAAUGACCAACCAAAUUGCAAGAAAGGGAUGUGCAAGUGAAGAAUAGCUUAUUAAAUCAAGAGGUUCCACCCUUGUAUGCAACAGCAUUGGUUUCUUCAUUCAAGAAAUGGAUAGUCAGUGUAACCAAUAACCGGAUCAGAAGUGUAGAAAGUCUCCCGAUUAUACUUGUUGAGAGGAGCAUCAAGCGCGAAUCUCUUUGGUAAAUCUGGAUUAGCUAAGAACCAACGACCAUAAGCAAUAAGAUCUGCCCUGUUUUCAGCUAUAGCAUUGAUCCCUUCUUGUCGAAUAUAGCCUCCAGAAACUAUAAAAGUGCCCUUGAAGGCUUUUCUCAUUGGUACCAGGCUAUGAGAGCUUUCAACCUGUUCUGCAUUAUUUUUAAUUCUUGGUUCUACCAUGUGACAGUACAAAACACUGUAUUUAUUUAGCGCAUUAACCAUAUAAAGUGCCAACUCUUUGGGAUUUGAGUCAACACAUUCUCCAUGCUCUCCAAAAGGUGAUAAUCUAAUUCCAACUCUUUCUGCCCCUAUCUCAUUUGCAACAGCUUCAACAAUCUCUAAAGGAAAUCGACAGCGGUUCUCAAGGGAACCACCAUAUUCAUCAGUUCGGUCGUUCACUUUAUCUUUCAUAAAUGCAUCAAGCAGGUAGCCAUGAGCUCCAUGGAACUCAAUUCCAUCAAAACCUACAAUUUGCACCACAACAGAUUGAAGCAUGAUUGAAUGUUGGGGACAUUUGUUAAACAGUCUAGUUUCUAAAAACAUAUUGUAUCAUGAUUGAAACAUGUUGAAUGUUGGGGACAUUUGUUAUAAAGAUCAAUUAAGUUACCAGC
rnacentral:lncRNA from 1 species